rnacentral:rRNA from 1 species
GACGGAGGGCGCGAGCGUUGUUCGGAAUCACUGGGCGUAAAGCGCGCGCAGGCGGACUACUUAAGUCUGAAGUGAAAUUCCGGGGCUCAACCCCGGCGCUGCUUCGGAUACUGAGAGUCUGGGGACCGGUAGAGGCCGGUGGAAUUGCUGGUGUAGCGGUGGAAUGCGUAGAGAUCAGCAAGAACACCCGUGGCGAAGGCGGCCGGCUGGGCCGGGUCCGACGCUGAGGCGCGAAAGCGUGGGGAGCAAACAGG